UACGUAGGGGGCAAGCGUUAUCCGGAUUUACUGGGUGUAAAGGGAGCGUAGACGGAGCAGCAAGUCUGAUGUGAAAACCCGGGGCUCAACCCCGGGACUGCAUUGGAAACUGUUGAUCUGGAGUGCCGGAGAGGUAAGCGGAAUUCCUAGUGUAGCGGUGAAAUGCGUAGAUAUUAGGAGGAACACCAGUGGCGAAGGCGGCUUACUGGACGGUAACUGACGUUGAGACUCGAAAGCGUGGGGAGCAAACAGG
rnacentral:rRNA from 1 species